rnacentral:rRNA from 1 species
CGGCACGGGUGAGUAAUACAUCGGAACGUGUCUUCUAGUGGGGGAUAACUGCCCGAAAGGGCAGCUAAUACCGCAUGAGACCUGAGGGUGAAAGCGGGGGAUCGCAAGACCUCGCGCUGGAAGAGCGGCCGAUGUCCGAUUAGCUAGUUGGUGAGGUAAAGGCUCACCAAGGCGACGAUCAGUAGCCGACCUGAGAGGGUGACCGGCCACAUUGGGACUGAGACACGGCCCAA